UGAUCGGCUAGAGGAUUAGGUAUUAUUUUUCUGUGGCCAUUAGAUAGUUUUCACCGUUAUGGUUUUUUUAUAUAGCUACUACGAUUCUGAUGAAUCGAGUUGUUUGUCAUGCAAAUAUUGUUUUCAUGGACCUUUAAAGGUCGUGUGCAUAUUGUUUGUGUUGUUUGUUUUAUUUUUUUGCAUUAUUCGAUGAUUUAUUGUUUUGCUAAUUUGGUGUUUUUGGUGUGUGUUUCAGUUUUGUAUAACGUGGGAGGUUCCAUCGACAAAGCUCUCUGACGAAGGUGGUGUUGACGAGCAAAGAGCGAGGUUUGGGGAGGUACUCGAUGAACUCAUAUCUCGGUUUGUGUCGGUUUAUUGGAAACAGGUAACCGCUGGUGUUUCCUUCUCCCGAAGAUGCACGAAUGAUAUGUUUUAUUUUAAUAAGGUAUUUUGUCGAAUAUUGUGUAUUUAUUAUGUAACGUAAUAAUCGUUUUAUGUUUAAUUUAUAUAUUUGUUUCUCUGAUGUUUUAGACCACACGGAAUUGGCGUAGAAGAUUUGUUGCUCCGUCGUGUUUUACGGAUCGCGUGGGCUUUUGUAAGCAUGUAUGUUUAUUCUCUUAUUGUCUUAUGUGUCAUGACUUGUAUAUAUAGACAUCAGAAUAUCUUACCAUUCUAUAAGGUAUGAUUUUAAUUGUU